GAUGAACGCUAGCGGCAGGCUUAAUACAUGCAAGUCGAGGGGCAGCACGGUUAGCAAUAACUGGUGGCGACCGGCGCACGGGUGCGUAACACGUAUACAAUCUACCUUAAACAGGGGGAUAGCCUUUCGAAAGAGAGAUUAAUACCCCGUAAUAAAUUGAACGGCAUCGUUUGAUUUUGAAAGCUCCGGCGGUUUGAGAUGAGUAUGCGUCUGAUUAGCUAGUUGGUGAGGUAACGGCUCACCAAGGCGACGAUCAGUAGGGGAUCUGAGAGGACUAACCCCCACACUGGUACUGAGACACGGACCAGACUCCUACGGGAGGCAGCAGUAAGGAAUAUUGGUCAAUGGAGGCAACUCUGAACCAGCCAUGCCGCGUGCAGGAUGACGGCCCUAUGGGUUGUAAACUGCUUUUAUACAAGAGAAAACCCUGGUACGUGUACCAGGUUGAUAGUAUUGUAAGAAUAAGCAUCGGACUAACUUCGUGCCAGCAGCCG
rnacentral:rRNA from 1 species